rnacentral:misc_RNA from 1 species
AAGUCGUAACAAGGUUUCCGUAGGUGAACCUGCGGAAGGAUCAUUAGCAUAUGUAUUUGAGUGGUCCUCGCGACCACUCAUACAACAACUUUGUGAACCGUUGAACGUCGUGUUGCGGUGGCCGCGCUAGUGAGCAGGUGGGUGGUGUAACAACUGCCGCCUGUUCGCCGACCGACUGCCGCGCACUAAACUAACCAUUAACUUGUGUAACGUGCCUUGAAUUCAUAAUUAAAACACAACUUUUAACAAUGGAUCUCUUGGCUCCU